rnacentral:rRNA from 1 species
AACGUAGGAGACGAACGUUAUCCGGAGUUACUGGGCGUAAAGCGUGCGCAGGCGGUGAUGUAAGACAGAUGUGAAAUCCCCGGGCUCAACCUGGGAACUGCAUUUGUGACUGCAUCGCUGGAGUGCGGCAGAGGGGGAUGGAAUUCCGCGUGUAGCAGUGAAAUGCGUAGAUAUGCGGAGGAACACCGAUGGCGAAGGCAAUCCCCUGGGCCUGCACUGACGCUCAUGCACGAAAGCGUGGGGAGCAAACAAG